rnacentral:rRNA from 1 species
GACGAACGCUGGCGGCGUGCUUAACACAUGCAAGUCGAACGGAAAGGCCCUGCUUGCAGGGUGCUCGAGUGGCGAACGGGUGAGUAACACGUGGGUGAUCUGCCCCUUACUUUGGGAUAAGCCUGGGAAACUGGGUCUAAUACUGGAUAGGACCAUGCUGUAGGUGGUGUGGUGGAAAGAUUAGUUUCGGUAAGGGAUGAGCUCGCGGCCUAUCAGCUUGUUGGUGGGGUAAUGGCCUACCAAGGCGUCGACGGGUCGCCGGCCUGAGAGGGUGGACGGCCACAUUGGGACUGAGAUACGGCCCAGACUCCUACGGGAGGCAGCAGUGGGGAAUAUUGCACAAUGGGCGCAAGCCUGAUGCAGCGACGCCGCGUGGGGGAUGACGGCCUUCGGGUUGUAAACUCCUUUCAGCCAUGACGAAGCCCUUGUGGUGACGGUAGUGGUAGAAGAAGCACCGGCUAACUACGUG